GAACCCGGGUCUUGAUUUCCCUAUAAAAACGACCCACGAUUUGAACAUAUUCACUCAAACGUGAUACACGGUCAAUCCAAGUAAGUAAAACCUUUAUCAACGCGGAAUUUCUUUUUACCUUGUCUAAAAAUUGAAUAAUAUCUAAUAUCUAUUUUCUCAUUUGUGGACAGCGCUUGCUUCAUAGAAAAACCUUUCUUUAGUACGAUUCAUCAUGAGUAGCCGUUCACUAUUAGUUACUAUGAUUUGCACUCUUGUCAUUGCCUUUUCCAUUGCUGAAUCGCAACCCGGUAAGUUGCUUAGUCAGCCCUCAUUUUCUAUCUGAAACGAUCGUAAUCUUUAAUGACUAUCUUUCAAAAAGGUUCUAAAAAUGGUGCCGGAGCUGCAGCAGCUAGUAAUGCUAGCCCAGAAGGUUUUACUGCAGCACUCGCCGCCGGCUUAAGCACUCACAACGGUGGAGUUAAACGGCGUAAUGGUGGAUUUGGAAAACCGAACCACGCAGUUCCUGUCGUCGCUGAAGUAGGAUCUCUAAGUCCUGGUGACGGUUUUGGAGAAGGAGAA